ensembl:lncRNA PMS2P4 PMS1 homolog 2, mismatch repair system component pseudogene 4
GUCGUGGAGGGAACUUUCCCAGGCCCCGAGGCGGAUCGGGUAUUGAGUCCAUGGAGCGAGCUGAGAGCUAGAGUACAGAACCUGCUAAGGCCAUCAAACCUAUCGAUCGGAAGUCAGUCCAUCAGAUUUGCUCUGGGCCGGUGGUACUGAGUCUAAGCACUGCGGUGAAGGAGUUAGUAGAAAACAGUCUGGAUGCUGGUGCCACCAAUAUUGAUCUAAAGCUUAAGGACUAUGGAGUGGAUCUCAUUGAAGUUUCAGACAAUGGAUGUGGGGUAGAAGAAGAAAACUUUGAAGGCUUAAUCUCUUUCAGCUCUGAAACAUCACACAUGUAAGAUUCAAGAGUUUGCCAACCUAACUGAGGUUGAAACUUUCGGCUUUCAGGGGGAAGCUCUGAGCUCACUGUGUGCACUGAGCGAUGUCACCAUUUCUACCUGCCACGCAUCGGCGAAGGUUGGGACUCGACUGGUGUUUGAUCACGAUGGGAAAAUCAUCCAGAAAACCCCCUACCCCCACCCCAGAGGGACCACAGUCAGCGUGAAGCAGUUAUUUUCUACACUACCUGUGCACCAUAAGGAAUUUCAAAGGAAUAUUAAGAAGACGUGCCUGUUUCCCCUUCGCCUUCUGCCGUGAUUGUCAGUUUCCUGAGGCCUCCCCAGCCAUGCUUCCUGUACAGCCUGCAGAACUGAUGGCCGUAUAAGAAAAUAAACAACUUGCUAAAACUGCUGAAACUCCCUCUGCUUGUGAGAUUUAAAAAAACUGGCUGAAAUUGGUUGGAACCAACAUGUCCAAUGGAGUCUGAAUAGAAAGAGCUUGCUGACAUCACAGCCCGAAUUUCCACCACAUUUCAUACUAACUCCCCCUGAAUUUGCAUAUGCAAACCACAAGCAAGCAUGAUCAAACAGACAACUGCGCGUGUCCGAGGACUUUCCAGAUCUCCCCUUUCCUUCCACCAAUCACUUACUAAUCUGAGAAUCCAUCCCCUAAUAAAAUCACUGCCUUAAAGCCUGCACAGGAAGACAAAUUUGA